GGUGGGUUGGCCGAGUAGGUCGAAGGCGCUCGCCUGCUAAGCGAGUAGGGGGGCCCAAACCUCCCUCGAGGGUUCGAAUCCCUCACCCACCGCCA
rnacentral:tRNA from 1 species